GACGAACGCUGGCGGCGUGCUUAACACAUGCAAGUCGAACGGAAAGGCCUGCUUUCCCUUGUGGAUUGCGGGUACUCGAGUGGCGAACGGGUGAGUAACACGUGAGUGAUCUGCCCCCAACUUGGGUAUAAGCCUGGGAAACUGGGUCUAAUUCCCGAUAGGACUGCAGGGUGGUGCCUGUGGUGGAAAACGAUUUUCUAGUGGUUGGGGAUGAGCUCGCGGCCUAUCAGCUUGUUGGUGGGGUAAUGCCCUACCAAGGCGGCGACGGGUAGCCGGCCUGAGAGGGUGGACGGCCACAUUGGGACUGAGAUACGGCCCAGACGCCUACGGGAGGCAGCAGUGGGGAAUAUUGCACAAUGGGCGGAAGCCGGAUGCAGCGACGCCGCGUGGGGGAUGACGGCCUUCGGGUUGUAAACUCCUUUCGACCGCGAGGAAGCCACCUGGUUGGAAGGGUGGUGACGGUAGUGGUAGAAGAAGCACCGGCUAACUACGUG
rnacentral:rRNA from 1 species